ACGGGUGAGUAACGCGUGGGGAAUCUGCCUUUGAGCGGGGGACAACAUUUGGAAACGAAUGCUAAUACCGCAUAAAAACUUUAAACACAAGUUUUAAGUUUGAAAGAUGCAAUUGCAUCACUCAAAGAUGAUCCCGCGUUGUAUUAGCUAGUUGGUGAGGUAAAGGCUCACCAAGGCGAUGAUACAUAGCCGACCUGAGAGGGUGAUCGGCCACAUUGGGACUGAGACACGGCCCAAACUCCUACGGGAGGCAGCAGUAGGGAAUCUUCGGCAAUGGACGAAAGUCUGACCGAGCAACGCCGCGUGAGUGAAGAAGGUUUUCGGAUCGUAAAACUCUGUUGGUAGAGAAGAACGUUGGUGAGAGUGGAAAGCUCAUCAAGUGACGGUAACUACCCAGAAAGGGACGGCUAACUACGUGCCAGCAGCCGCGGUAAUACGUAGGUCCCGAGCGUUGUCCGGAUUUAUUGGGCGUAAAGCGAGCGCAGGUGGUUUAUUAAGUCUGGUGUAAAAGGCAGUGGCUCAACCAUUGUAUGCAUUGGAAACUGGUAGACUUGAGUGCAGGAGAGGAGAGUGGAAUUCCAUGUGUAGCGGCGAAAUGCGUAGAUAUAUGGAGGAACACCGGUGGCGAAAGCGGCUCUCUGGCCUGUAACUGACACUGAGGCUCGAAAGCGUGGGG
rnacentral:rRNA from 1 species